CUGCGUACCUUUUGUAUAAUGGGUCAGCGACUUAUAUUCUGUAGCAAGGUUAACCGAAUAGGGGAGCCGAAGGGAAACCGAGUCUUAACUGGGCGUUAAGUUGCAGGGUAUAGACCCGAAACCCGGUGAUCUAGCCAUGGGCAGGUUGAAGGUUGGGUAACACUAACUGGAGGACCGAACCGACUAAUGUUGAAAAAUUAGCGGAUGACUUGUGGCUGGGGGUGAAAGGCCAAUCAAACCGGGAGAUAGCUGGUUCUCCCCGAAAGCUAUUUAGGUAGCGCCUCGUGAAUUCAUCUCCGGGGGUAGAGCACUGUUUCGGCAAGGGGGUCAUCCCGACUUACCAACCCGAUGCAAACUGCGAAUACCGGAGAAUGUUAUCACGGGAGACACACGGCGGGUGCUAACGUCCGUCGUGAAGAGGGAAACAACCCAGACCGCCAGCUAAGGUCCCAAAGUCAUGGUUAAGUGGGAAACGAUGUGGGAAGGCCCAGACAGCCAGGAUGUUGGCUUAGAAGCAGCCAUCAUUUAAAGAAAGCGUAAUAGCUCACUGGUCGAGUCGGCCUGCGCGGAAGAUGUAACGGGGCUAAACCAUGCACCGAAGCUGCGGCAGCGACGCUUAUGCGUUGUUGGGUAGGGGAGCGUUCUGUAAGCCUGUGAAGGUGUGCUGUGAGGCAUGCUGGAGGUAUCAGAAGUGCGAAUGCUGACAUAAGUAACGAUAAAGCGGGUGAAAAGCCCGCUCGCCGGAAGACCAAGGGUUCCUGUCCAACGUUAAUCGGGGCAGGGUGAGUCGACCCCUAAGGCGAGGCCGAAAGGCGUAGUCGAUGGGAAACAGGUUAAUAUUCCUGUACUUGGUGUUACUGCGAAGGGGGGACGGAGAAGGCUAUGUUGGCCGGGCGACGGUUGUCCCGGUUUAAGCGUGUAGGCUGGU
rnacentral:rRNA from 1 species